rnacentral:lncRNA from 1 species
GUAAUACAUGCCCUUGAGGUGUGCUGAGAAUAAAUAGACUGUCAUGGACAUUGUCGGCGUAGAUGAAGUCUGGGGUGUGAGAAGUGCCCUAGGAAUGGGGGUGCCUGCCCUGGUCUCUGAAGAAUGAUUUAGAAGGCAAGAACACACAAAAGCAGCUUCAAGCAGGAGAGCUCAGCCAUGUGGCCCAUGGUGCUGGCCCUGACCUCUGCUGUAGCCUGUGAACUGUAUUUCCAAGAAUCUCCCCUUCAGCAAUGAAAUUUUUCAGAGGCUGCCUGUCACCUACAAGAGUCUGACAUGGCAACAUGAGACCAUUGGGACCUUGCCAGAUGGACUGUUUCUGAGAUUCUGAAAUGCUUUCAGUGCCCCCUACUGGAAGCAGGCUGAAGAACCAAGUCGGCUUCAAACACAUUCUUCCUUGGGACUGAGGAAGCAGCUCGGCAGUAGAACACUCACCUAAUAUUCAAGAGGCCCGGGAUUCAAUCCUUAGCACCAAACAAACAAAAGACACAUGACUGAGCUACCAGGGACUUAGAAGGUGGAGCUAAGAGUCAUGAAGAAUCUGUUUUAGGCUUUGAAACCUAAUCAAGAAACUUCUGGAAAUUUUCUGGCUAGAUUUCAAAACUGUUAUGGACCAGUACUUCUUUGUGAGUAGAAUGUCUAUAGCCUUUGUCCUAACCUAUCCCAACACUAUAUGUUGUAUAUCACAGGGGCAGAUCAUUUCUCUCUUUAGUUUCACACAUUGCCACAUUCAGCUUAAGCAACUUUCUCAAGCCAUAUCCACACCUGGACCUGAUUUGGAUGGACACAGGCCAGGUAUCCCUUCCUCCAGGAAGCCCUUUUUGACCCUCCUGGCUGCCUCUGUGUUCCUAUAACAGCUUAGCUGGUGGGCGAGGGCCUUAUUUAUACCAGUGCCCUAAUAUUUAACACAACAUUUUGUGUGGAAUAAAA